GGCUGAAACUCGCCUAUAUGAAGUCGGAAUUGCUGUAAUCGCAGAUCAGCAUGCUGCGGUGAAUACGUUCCCGGGCCUUGUACACACCGCCCGUCACACCAUGAGAGUCGAUAACACCCGAAGCCUGUAGUCUAACCAUAAGGGGGACGCAGUCGAAGGUGGGAUUGAUAAUUAGGGUGAAGUCGUAACAAGGUAAC
rnacentral:rRNA from 1 species